rnacentral:rRNA from 1 species
UACAUAGCUUAAUGAGGGGAACUCAGGGAACUGAAACAUCUAAGUACCUGAAGGAAGAGAAAGAAAUUCGAUUCCGUAAGUAGCGGCGAGCGAACGCGGAUUAGCCCAAACCAAUAAAGUUUUCUUUAUUGGGGUUGAGGACAUACCACAUAUAAGAGGUCAUUAUAGACGAAGAAGUUUGGAAAAACUCAUCAUAGAAGGUAAUAAUCCUGUAGUCAAAAUAAUAAUUCUUUAGGUAUGAUCCAGAGUACCACGGGACACGUGAAACCCUGUGGGAAGCAGGAGGGACCACCCUCCAAGGCUAAAUACUACCUAGUGACCGAUAGCGUAUAGUACCGUGAGGGAAAGGUGAAAAGAACCCCGGGAGGGGAGUGAAAUAGAACCUGAAACCCUGCACUUACAAGCUGUGGAAGCACAUUUCUUGUGUGACCGCGUACUUUUUGUAGAACGGGCCAACGAGUUACGUUAAGUAGCAAGGUUAAGCACUUAAGGUGCGGAGCCGUAGCGAAAGCGAGUUUUAACUGAGCGUUCAGUUACUUGACGUAGACCCGAAACCGGGCGACCUACCCAUGAGCAGGAUGAAGCGAAAGUAAAAUUUCGUGGAGGUCCGAACCCACGAGCG